rnacentral:lncRNA from 1 species
UGUCAUUCUAUUUGUUUUCACAGAAUUACUUCUGUGCUUAUACAGGGAAGAGUUAGACUGCUCUUAAAAUCAUGCUUGUGUUUAACAAAGUUAUUGCAUGCUUUAUUAAUGUUUGAAAGGUUGCACUGAUAACAAGCUUAGGAAACUUAAUAAGGUACUUACAUGUAUUGAUAGAUUGAAACGUUAGUUUUCUUCUCUAGAAAAGGGAAUCCAGUAUGAGGAAAACUACAGUCAAAGUUUAGAAGACCUUUUAAAAACAACUCACAGGACUUUUCGCUGCUCUUUUAAGGUGGGACUGAUCACUUUUUCAGUUGGUUUAUGAGAACGAAAUCGUUCGGUAGCAGCUUCUUUGAAGCCGCUGGAGCAAGUCUGGUAAAAAUCUGUAUUAGCAGAAUCAGAACCAGACACUCAGCCUCGGAAUUCCACUCUGCUGGAAAAUGGGUGCAGAUCAGCUCCUUUGGAGACCACGGACUAAGAAGAAUAUUCCUUUUGUCCUAUAAAAAUAUUGGGAUGAGUUUUGGUUUUUAAGACGGCUGCUAGUAUUCGUUCUCUCCUCUGAGGAUCGCCCACGUGACCAUGCCGUGUAAUCUGUGCUGGGUCCUCCCUAGAGAGCUCCAGCUGUCCACCCUCGGCUACGAGUCUGAACCAAACCUGCUGCCCACGUGCGUGGCAGCAGAAAGCCAUCUGAAAGGUCGCAGUGCCCCAUGGUUUGAUCUAUGGUCAAGAUGCCAAAACCUACAGGGGCAGAUCAGAGUUUAUUGUGUGAAGAGCUUCAGAAGAAAGAUAAGCUGCCUUAAAACUGUUAGAGAGGCAAAAUUACUUUGGAAGCAUAUGAGGAGUAUUGACACCACUUGAGCUUUCUGCUCUAUGUUGCCAGGUUUCUCAUCAUCAAAGCGUUUGAAGAUUACAGUGAUAAAGGAAUACAAAAAAUAUAAACACUGAGAUGAAGAUAGAAGCAGAAAGUGUUUAUAUGGCAAUUGUCAUGAAACUGUUACCAAAAAAAAGCACAGAAGUAGAAAAAAGAUGAAUUCAAAAAUUCCCUGUCCAGAACAAGACAGGAAAAAUAUGCAUAUAGACAAAAAUCCUCAGAUUUUUGACUGUAAGUCUUUUAUGACUGUAAGAAUCAUUGCUGAAACCAUUUUGAAGGUCGCCCUGGGGUCCUCUAAAUAGUGCAGUUGUGUUAGAUGCCCCUUUUUUUAGAUAUUUCUUCUACGAUUAAGGGUAACGUAAAGACUUAUUUUUCUAAUAUGGUUACCUGUAAAUUUUUCCAUCAAGUAUCCUUUCAACAUUUUCGAACUCCAUUACUCAAUUUCAAACAAAUGUGACAUCAGUACGGACGGUAAAAGCUCCGCAAAUGCUCUAAAAAUAGGGCAAAUAAUAGAACAUGUCAGUGCUCCACUGACCCAGUGACAGGAUGAAGGAUGAGUUUGUUUUUAGAUACCAAAAAAUGGUAGAGAAAAGGAGAGAAAAAUUCCACCCGUGGAGAAGCUGCAUCUCUUAUGAGAUACUGCAUAAUGCAAUGAGACAGAAAGCAUAGGCAAUCAGGAGAUUCUGCUCAUGUAUUGGUGGCUCUAAAGGUGGGGGAAUUUCAGAGGUGGCUGCUGUCUUAGGAGGAAGAUAUGAAAUACAGAGAAUUUACAGAUUCUGCAGAAAGACACCAUAAGUGACACAGCUUUGGCAGUUAGCGGGAAGUUUGUGAAGCAGCAGCAAAUUUCAAAGCAGCCAGUAGGUUGGUUCAGACUUUCAGCUGUAAUGUCAGGACAUUGAUUAUCUUCUAAACAACGGUCUCUCAGGAUCAUUGAAUAUGCAAGGUCCAAGACAACAUGCACUUCUCGUACUGUUUUGGUGGCCCUGCCCCCAUAGAUAACAAGAAUUCAUGUUAUAUUGCCUAUGUUAUCCUCAGCUGUACGUACUAUCCAGCACUGAACACUAUUCAGGUACUAUAGCACUAAAGUACUAUUCAGGCACUUUAUUAGGAAAAUUUGUACUUACUUUCUUCAUUGUUAAUGCUUUCGGGUAGGGUUAUAAUCUAGACAGGGCUCCAAAGUAUGACUUCUAUGCUGUAAAAAUAGUCUAGAAUUCAGAAGACUGGAUUUGGGCCUGAUGCAUGCUUUACCAUACCCCAUAUAUUUUUUAACAAACAUCUACAAGGAACAAAUAGCUGUUAUCCUCCCUGCGUUUGCUAAUGGACUCAGACAGACAGCACAAAAAGCAUAUUUAAAUCCACUAACAGUAAAAGAGUAGCACCUUGAAAAAGUGACUCUCAGACUCAGUAGUCUGCCAAAAUGAGUACUGUGGUGUAAAUAUUUGAAAUAAUUCUUCAUUGUAUGGUUACAAGCCGAGCAAUAGGGAUGCAGAAGGGGUAGAGGAACAUUUCGAAAUGCCAGGUCCUAAAGAUAGCUGUGAAUUUUCACUAUUCAGUACAUCUGAGUAGACAAAGAAAAUCCGGACCUUUGAUGACCCCUGGUGAAUAAACUAAGCACUGCAUUGAAAUGACGACCGAUA